UACGUAGGUGGCGAGCGUUGUCCGGAUUUACUGGGCGUAAAGAGCGCGCAGGCGGUCGUGCAAGUCGCGUGUGAAAGCCCCCCGGCUCAACUGGGGAGGGUCACGCGAUACUGCUCGACUCGAAGGCAGGAGAGGGAAGUGGAAUUCCCGGUGUAGUGGUGAAAUGCGUAGAUAUCGGGAGGAACACCAGUGGCGAAGGCGACUUCCUGGCCUGUUCUUGACGCUGAGGCGCGAAAGCUAGGGGAGCAAACGGG
rnacentral:rRNA from 1 species